GGUUAUGGCUUAGUGAUAGAGCACUCACCUAGCAUGUUUGAGGCCCUGGGUUCAAUCCUCAGCACCA
rnacentral:tRNA from 1 species